UUGGAGUAAAAUAAAGAUAGCCCCCUUGUACGAAAGGAAUUGGGUAUGUUAACCAAUAGUGUACUUGUUGUUUAUAGAUUAAAUAUAGGUAUUUUAACUGAAAUACUAAGAGAACAAGCAGUGGAGGCGUAGUCCCUGACCAUAGCUCUCUCUUUUGUAGGCAUAGCAAGGAAGCCACGUUAAUUAAAAAUAAGCGCUGAAGGCAUAUAAGCAUGAAAUUUACUUUAGGAUACUCUUCUCAACGUAGUAAAAUACUACGUUAAUAGGCUUUAGCUACAAUAACUUUGAUGUUUUAAGGUUUAAAGUACUAAU
rnacentral:ncRNA from 1 species